GCUUUUGACCUCUUUGGUAUAUUUGUACCAUUCAUUUAUUCCAUUUUAUAAUUGCUAUAUGAGUAACUCUGAUGCCAUCAGAAUCUGUUGGUAGAAAAAUGUAUGAGAAAGUACUCUUUUUUUAACUCCCACCUCUUUGAUGAGUUGUAAGGUAGAUUUUUAUUAGUAAGGGGAUUCCUAAAAAUAUGUAGAAGUGUAAUGUGCUUUAGACAGGGAAUUAUAUGCUGAAGCUGUUCCUGAUGCCUGCUCCUUACUCGGACGAAACACACAUUGAGUCAAGUCAUUACAGAAGAGAAGUACAUAAAUCUGUGUGGAGAAUAUACUACAUAGAGAAUGACAAAUAGACAAUCUCACUGAAUAGAGAUAUGAAGCGUGUCUGUCUUUAAACAUGUAUACGUAUGUGUAUUUGCUUGCAGAAGAAAGAGUAACGAUGUGGAAUUAUUAUUCUGGUUUCCCACUGUUUAUAGAGAUCACUGAUAGCACCUUCUGAAGCGAAAGUAUUAGAAAUUAAUAAAAGUCUUGAUCCUUGCUAGUAUCAAGACCAUAUGUACAGGGAAAUAUGAAAAUAUAUUGCUGUAGCAAAGACAGCAGCUGAGUACUCAUCUCCAGAUAUUCCCCAGUCUGAUUCAAUUCAUUCGUCAAUGUUCAUCCAAAUUUUGUUUCCUUCCCCAGGAAUUGUAGGACCCCCCUUAAAAGCAGACCAGACUUCACUUCACAGUAAAAUGGAAAGUUCUGCCUGUAACAUGAUGACCAGAAGGAAACCAGCAGCUGUUGACAGUAUUGCAACGCCGACUCCAGUAUUAUCUCUCCUACCUUCAGCAGCAGCAGCAUCUGAAGCAGAGGCUUAGGAAUGAGACUGAAGCAAACCCACAGUAAAGCACUGAUGUAGGAAAGUUUUGCUGCUUUAGAAGAGAAGAGAACUGGAGAUGGAUCACUGAGGACAACUUAACAAAGUUGUGUUUUCAUCUAGAACAGUAAAAAAGGAGGUAACAGCAAUUCUUCUGGGACUGUAAUAAUUAUUCUUUUAUUUUUUUUAAUUGCUUGUCUAUGCAAAGUCCUUUCUCACAGCCACUGCUUCUUCAGUAGUCAUAUUCAGCCUCUCAGUCUUGAAAACCCCUAGUCUUCGUGAUACUGAAAGCAGACAAAGGAG
rnacentral:lncRNA from 1 species